UUUGAUACUCCAUUGCUAUAUUGUUGUCUAUGCAUUAUUUUUCUCUUUCAAGUGUGUUUAUUGAUUAAGACUUUAUUGGUUCAGGGGGAUGAGCAUGUUGUUGCUGUGGACGAAUUGAUUGAGGCUGAUGAAGUUUUUUGUACAGGAACUGUUGUUGGUUUUGCUCUUGUAGGGAGUAUCACAUAUCAGAAUAGAAGAUUUCAUGUCUUAGGGCAUAACAGACUCAAUUAAGUAAGCAGGAAUAUCUUACUUCAAAGGAGGAAGUUGACACUCAAGAAGGUCGUGCGAGACAGCUUGAGGAAGAGAUUAGAGAUUUAAGACAAAAACACAAGCAAGAGUUGCACGAGGCAUUGAUGCAUAUGGAGCUUAUUCAGCAGGAAAUAGAAAAAGAAAAGGUUGCUCGAUCAUAUAUGGAGAGGGUUGGUUGUGUUCAUUAUGUGCCAUCAUCAUAUCAAAGUCCCACAACAAAGCAUAAAUCUGCUUUUGAGAAUGGUGUGAUGCUUUGCUUCUUUUUAUUUUUACAUCACUUGGUUCAGUUAUCUUGUCUAUGAUAUUUUCGAUAAUAUACUUUAUGAUGUAUGGAAUUUGUCCCGUAAAAUCUCCUGUGCAAGCUCCCUUGGAAGAAUGGAAGAAAGCUAUUUUCUUCAAGCAUCACUGGAUUCAUCUGACAGUUUUUCUGAACGGAGAAACCCAGGAGAACUAAGCAUGAGUCCUUACUAUAUGAAGAGCAUUACACUCAGUUCUUUUGAGGCUGCGUUUCGUCAGGAGGGUGAGCUUGCUUCAUAUAUGUCGCGCUUGGUAUGAUUUGUUGCUUUCAUUUUCUGUCAUCAUACCUUCCAUGGAUAUCUCUUUGGAUCCGCAAUUGAAACUACAACAACAGUGAUCUUGUCCCAGCACUGCCAAUAUGCACUGCAAACUAGAGAGCUCAAGCAAGUUAUUUAAGGUCUAGCAUAAAGCCAACUUAUUGUUUUGAUUGGAUUUGGAUCCCAUAUUCUAUUAUUUACUUUCUACAUUCAUAACCAAAACUUUUUGGAGUAUUUUAUUAAAUAUUUUGUUUAACAAGAUGAUUACUCUUUCUUUAUGAAA